UUAUAGAUAUCAAUGAAAUUUUGCAAAUAACUAUUUUUGAACAGAAAAUAGUUACAAAAUAGCUAAAAAUGACUAUUUUUUUAUGGUUAUACAAAAACUAUCUUGUAAAAGCGUGCCAGUGCGAGUACAAGUUUUAAGUCGUGUGGUACAAAAAGGGAGAUUUUUUUAAAAAGUAUUAUGUUGUUUGUUUAAUUUUAUUCUUUGUAAGCAAAGUCUACAUUUUCGAGGAAAACCAGUCCGUCUCCAAAUAAAGCAGUAACUCGUACUACCAGAGGUCUGGGUUCGUAUCCCAACGUCCACUGCCAACAACCUUUUCUUCUUGCCUCUUGCCAACAAGACUAUCAUUAUCAUCAAAAAGUGCAUUGCUGCUAAGCCUAGCUUAGUUCGAACACGGAAACUUUGGUUUCUUCUUAAAUGAAGAAUGAAGAAGAAAAACUCAAAGUAGUUCGCUGAUAUCAAAGCAGGAUCAAAUGCUGAAAACGCCGCUGCUGUUGCUGCCGCUGAUGUUGAAGCAAAAUGCUGACUUGAGCUACUACUCGCCGAUUGAGAACUUGAACUCGUCGUACUCCUUAAAGCUGGUAAAUUAACAUAAGGAGCAACUCUACACGGUUCCAAUGGGGUUGAAACUGGUGGGCUAUGACUUGAAAGAAGAAUUCCUAAAACGACAAAGAAAUAAAAAAAAGACACAAGAUGAAAAAGCGAUAAAGCCUAAUGAAUUGGAAGCAAAAUGUUAACAGAAAAUUUUUUUUAAGUUUCCCAAGCCGAUAGCAAACAAACAGAACAAGAAUGUCCAGGACGCCAGGACAGUAAAAAAUGCAUACCUACUGAAUAACGAAAAGCAUAACGAAAUUGUCUGUUCACGAUUUCUUUAUGCUAAUUUUGUAUGAAAUCCUCGUACGAAGCUGAAGCGAAGCAAGAGUGAUUGAAAAAUUUGAGAAAAUUUCAAAAUAAUCUGGCACAAAUGUGAUUUUGGCUUAUAGAACCGCGUGUUGGAAAACGAAAAGCAUAAAGAAAAUUUUCGUUUACGACAUAAUUGUUUUGCAUGAGAUUUUUCGUUUCUCUCCAGCAUUAUUUAGCGUGCAAAAAUAAAAUUAACUAGUAGGUAUUUGGUAUGA